UGGCUGGACCAUGGGACUGGCCGGUGUUUACUAUUGAGUGAGAAGUGGUAGGAGGAAGAAGUGACUGUCGGAGCAUCUGCACAAGCUCAGCAAUCUGAUCGGAGGCUCCAGCUUUCAUCUUUCAAUUGAGGUAUGGAUCAACUAAGCGUGUAGCAAGAAGAAGGUGAGCAUGCAGGGAAAUGAAGAUCUAGCGCAAGUUCUGCCGGGAAGACUCAAAUGUUACGUCACUUAUUAAUUCAGAUCUAACCAAUCAUUAUCUAACACUUGGAGUAUAAAAGAUUGGUACUUACACUUGUCUGAGUUCGCAGAUGCUGACGCAAACUUUCACCUCCAUCCUCCCCACCACCACCAGGAUGGUCCCUGUCCAUACUCCCCCGGGGUUGGCUAUGCCCCUGCCUUCAGCUUCAGGCAGGAAACGCAAAGUCUGCAAUCCUCAGGAUGUGAGCUACGGACGGGGCCUACGCCAAAGAUCAUUAACCUUAUAUAUUAUGCUUGCUGUUUGGUAAUAAAUAUCAGUGUUACGUUA